GGCAGACGGGUGAGUAGCGCGUGGGAACCUGCCUUGGAGUGGGGGAUAACCGAGGGAAACUUCGGCUAAUACCGCAUACGCCCCCGCGAGGAAAGAUUCGCUCCAAGAGGGGCCCGCGUCGGAUUAGGUAGUUGGUGGGGUAACGGCCUACCAAGCCUGUGAUCCGUAGCUGGUCUGAGAGGAUGAUCAGCCACACUGGGACUGAGACACGGUCCAGACUCCUACGGGAGGCAGCAGUGGGGAAUAUUGGACAAUGGGCGCAAGCCUGAUCCAGCAAUGCCGCGUGAGUGAUGAAGGCCUUAGGGUUGUAAAGCUCUUUCGGCGGGGACGAUUGACGGUACCCGCAGAAGAAGCCCCGGCUAACUUCGUGCCAGCAGCCGCGGUAAUACGAAGGGGGCGAGCGUUGUUCGGAUUUACUGGGCGUAAAGGGCGCGUAAGCGGCGGACCUUGUCGAGUGUGAAAGCCCCGGGCUCAACCUGGGAGGUGCGCUCGAGAC
rnacentral:rRNA from 1 species